rnacentral:rRNA from 1 species
GACGUAGGGCGCGAGCGUUGUCCGGAUUUAUUGGGCGUAAAGAGCUCGUAGGCGCUUGUCGCGUCGACCGUGAAAACUUGGGGCUCAACCGUGUGGUCUGCAGUCGAUACGGGCAGGGCUAGAGUUCGGUAGGGGGAGACUGGAAUUCCUGGAUGUAGCGGUGAAAUGCGCAGAUAUCAGGAGGAAACACCAAUGGCGAAGGCAGCUCACUGGGACGGUAUUGACGCUGGAGAACGCGAAAGCGUGGGGAGCAAACAGG